rnacentral:rRNA from 1 species
AUUGAACGCUGGCGGCAGGCCUAACACAUGCAAGUCGAACGAGUGGCGGACGGGUGAGUAAUGUCUGGGAAACUGCCCGAUGGAGGGGGAUAACUACUGGAAACGGUAGCUAAUACCGCAUACCAUCGGAUGUGCCCAGAUGGGAGUAGCUAGUAGGUGGGGUAACGGCUCACCUAGGCGACGAUCCCUAGCUGGUCUGAGAGGAUGACCAGCCAGACUGGAACUGAGGCACGGUCCAGACUCCUACGGGAGGCAGCAGGGGGGAAUAGUGCACAAUGGGAGAAAGCGUGAUGCAGCGAUGCCGCGUGUAUGAAGAAGGCCUUCGGGUUGGAGAGUACUUUCAGCGAGGAGGCGUUACUCGCAGAAGAAGCACCGGCUAACUACGUGCCAGCAGCCGCGGUAAUUC